rnacentral:tRNA from 3 species
GCUGCUGUAGCUCAACUGGAUAGAGCAAUGGCCUUCGAAGCCAACGGUUGCAGGUUCGAGUCCUGCCAGCAGCGCCA